GUCGGGCACAGUGGUGUGUACAUGUAAUCCCAGCAGCUUGGGAGGCUGAGGCAGGAGAAUCACGAGUUUGAAGCCAGCCUCAGUAAUUUAGCGAGACCCUGUCUCUA
rnacentral:sRNA from 1 species